ensembl:lncRNA
UCUACAAUGGCGGCCCGGUAUCGCCAGUCCGACUCACCACAAACUCCUAGGUAUUUAGAUUAGAAUAGAAUAGAAUAGAAUAGAAUAGAAUAGAAUAGAAUAGAAUAGAAUAGAUGUUUAUUGUCAUCUUACAUGGCAUGACGAAAAUAUAAAGAGCUUCCACUGGACGGUGCACGACAACAAGCAAGUCCGUGCACAUCAGCAUGACGAUUUCAACAAAGAUGUAAUACUACUCCCAAAUCCGUCAUGGGGAAUUGUCUGCAAACAAGGCACAAAAGUUUGGCUGCACAAACAUGGACAUAUCCUCAGUGCCUUUGAGUUCCAGAAGGUCUGGGACCACCAGACUGUCAUACAACACAUCAGGGAUGGAUUUGGUAUCUGAAAGCACAACCAUUGAGGACCUUGAAAAGGCAAAGGCACCUCUGCUUGACUACUUGGCCAAUGCAGGAUGUCUGAGGCCUCUUCGGUCAAUCAGAGACAGGGAUCUGCUGGUACAAGACAUUGUCAUGUUUCAGGUCAUCCACAGAGUUCAAGGACCAUUCCAAAG